rnacentral:lncRNA from 1 species
CCUGGUCAAUCUGUCAUGGAAAGAGGUGGUCCUUAACGUUUUGUACACUCAGUGUAUGUCUCAGGGCUGUACAGACUAUGAAGCGUUACUUAAAAAAUGUAUUUUUGAUAAUGUUGUAUUUAUUGCAGUAUGUUUCUAUUAAUGGCAUUUUAAAAUGAUCAUUGAUUGUGAAUUUUCAAAAUGUAAGUAGUUCUUUCUGAAAUAAAUCCACAACUUGAGGAAUUUAACUGAUGCUCUCUGCCAUCUCUUUGAGUUGGUAUGGAAUUAUGAGUUUGCAUAAUAAGUGAUUGUAAGAGAAGGAUCUCACAGUUCCAUGAUACUGUCACAAUUAUAGCUCUGAGUGGAAUGUUGCCAAAGAUUCUAUGCUCCGAUUGACAUUCUAAAUUGUGCUCAAUUUCUAUUGCCUGCCUCAGCUUCACUGGGUAUGGUUUAAUCUUGUAAAAUGUCCUUUUCUAUAUGGCCCUUUUCCAGGCCCCCACCCCCCAAAAAUCUCAUUUUCCCCAGCCUACCCACAUGGGCAACGGUGGGAAUAGAUAUAACUCCAGAGGAACUUGUUGUAUUUUUCAGACCUGAACCUGCCAGCCGGAUUAGCCUAGUUUUCAGUGCAAUAGAACCUGUACUCCCAUUCCUGCCAGUGAUCUUCUUGGCAUUUUUUGCCUUUAAUGUCCACAAAAUAUUCAAGAGGAAGCUGAUUAAGGCAUCACUGAAGAAGUCUGACAUGCUGAACGCAUCCGCCAUGCUGUCAGAGCAGUUCAUACAUCUGAAGAGUGUGGAGGUUAGGCUGCUGGCCCUGGAGAAGAAGCUUCAGGCGAUCAACGAGGAGCGGAGGAGACUGGGAAAAGUAACUCGAAAAACACAGGGGCCAGGAACUAACCCACUGUGAAGCUGUGGAGUCUUCCUCGUGUUGCUACUCAGCCAUAGAGUGAAGAUAAGGGCAACCACUCAGGAGUUCUGACAGCCAAAUCUGAGUCAGGAAUUGGAGCCUGUUCUAUUCUUGAACCUUAAAUAAAUGCUUCAAAAAUCAGUAAAAUAUGACUUAGUUCCAAACUACAUUUAGCCUUCUUGUGUCUUUUGAUGCUACUCUGUACUGUGCUUGUUUUAAGAAAGGUGUUAGAGGGAAUUUGAAAAUUAUUGAACUCAUUAAUAGAA